rnacentral:lncRNA from 1 species
UGGGAGCUGAUCACGGAUCCUGGGAUGCUGAUGAUCUUCGGACGCGGAGGGACGGCUGGAUAGCAGAAACGGGAGAUCGCACACAUGCAAAUCGAGGCGGAAGAAGCGGAUGGAUCGGAAGGAAGAUAGGACUCAGGGCUUGGGAGAUCCACACGCGGACGGCUGGAGGCUCUGGGAUGCAAACUCGGAAGGCUGAGACGCGUUGGUUGCUGGGAUGAAGUCGGAUCUUUGCUGGAAAAUCGCUGGGAAGAGAUGCGGAAAUGCUGGGAUUCUUGCGAACGACUGGAUGAACGCGUGGACUCGGAUGAUGUGCCGGAUGGUCACCGAGCUGAAGAUGAAUCUUGGACUCAUGAGGCCUGGACGAAUGGAGCUUAAUCGUGAAGAGUGCUGGAGCGUGGAAGCUUCGGAAUGCAUCACGGGAAGGAGCUAACGGCAGAAGAAUGUGGCCCGAUUGAGAAGGAUCGGGAUCUCUUCCACGCGGGCGGACGCGUGGGAUUGAACGUAGACAGCUGCAUCGUGAUCUUCUUCAAAUGGACGCACGGGAU